GAUGAACGCUGGCGGCGUGCCUAAUACAUGCAAGUCGAGCGAACAGACGAGGAGCUUGCUCCUCUGACGUUAGCGGCGGACGGGUGAGUAACACGUGGAUAACCUACCUAUAAGACUGGGAUAACUUCGGGAAACCGGAGCUAAUACCGGAUAAUAUAUUGAACCGCAUGGUUCAAUAGUGAAAGACGGUUUUGCUGUCACUUAUAGAUGGAUCCGCGCCGCAUUAGCUAGUUGGUAAGGUAACAGCUUACCAAGGCAACGAUGCGUAGCCGACCUGAGAGGGUGAUCGGCCACACUGGAACUGAGACACGGUCCAGACUCCUACGGGAGGCAGCAGUAGGGAAUCUUCCGCAAUGGGCGAAAGCCUGACGGAGCAACGCCGCGUGAGUGAUGAAGGUCUUCGGAUCGUAAAACUCUGUUAUUAGGGAAGAACAAAUGUGUAAGUAACUAUGCACGUCUUGACGGUACCUAAUCAGAAAGCCACAGCUAACUACGUG
rnacentral:rRNA from 1 species